UUAUAACUAGGCUCAAACACAUUUUUAUUAAUCAAAAUAGGAACCAUUACAAUCAACACAUCUUUGCCAAUUAGAAAUAGGUUUCCUUAUUCCUGUAGCAUAAAAAUCCAUGCUUCAGGAUUUGACGCACUCUUGGAAAGCAUUUUCUGCAUUCUGCUCGUUGUGGAAGCAUUUUCCCUGCAAAAAGUUGUCGAGAUGCUUAAAAAAGUGGUAGUCAGUUGGAGAGAGGUCAGGUGAAUAUGUCGAAUGAAGCAAAACUUUGUAGCCCAAUUCAUUCACCUUUUGAAGUGUUGGUUGUGCAAGGUGUGGUUGAGCACUGGUAUGGAGAAGAAUUAGGCCCUUUCUGUUGACCAAUGCCAGCUGCAGGCAUUGCAGUUUUUGGUGCAUCUCAUCAAUUUGCUGACUGUGCUUCUCAAAUGUAAUGGUUUAGCCGGGAUUCGGAAAGCUGUAGUGGAUCAGACUGGCAGCAGACCACCAAACAGUGACCAUGACUUUUUUUGGUGCAAGUUUAGCUUUGGAAAGUGCUUUGGAGCUUCUUCUCAGUCCACCGACUGAGCUAGUCAUCGCUGACUGUUGUAUAAAGUUCACUUUUUGUCACAUGUCACAAUCCGAUCAAGAAAUGGUUCAUUGUUGCAUAGAAUAAGAUGACACUUCAAAACACCUAUUUUUUUUUCAUUUUCGCUCAGCUCAUGAGGCACUCACUUAUCAAGCUUCUUCACCUUUCCAAUUUGCUUCAAAUGCCAAAUGACCACAGAAUGUUCGACGUUGAGUUCUUCAGCCCCUUCUCAUGUAGUUGUAAGAGAAUCAGCUUUGAUAAUUGCUCUCAGUUGGUCAUUGUUAAUGGCCAGCCACUGUGCUCCUUAUCUUCAAGGCUCUUGUCACCUUUGCAAAACUUUUUGAACCACCACUGCACUGCACAUUCGUUAGCAGUUUCUGGGCCAAGGGCAUUGUUAAUGUCGUGAGUUGUCCAAGCUGCUUUACUGCCCGUUUUGAACGCAAAUAAGAAAAUCGCUCGAAUUUGCUUUUUGUCUAACGUCAUUUGCAUAGCCGUGGCCAAUACGGACCGCUGGCGCGGGGUCUCUGAGGGAGCGAAGCGGCGAGCGGGCUGCAGGCCGAGCAGGGCCAUGCGGCGGUAGUGGCGGCAGACAGGACAGAGCCCUGGCAGGAGAGGCACAGCACGUCAGACAGGGUCUGGCUCUGUCAUAUAGGCUGGAGUGCAGUGGCACGAUCUUGGCUCAUUGCAACCUUCACCUGCCGGAUUGAAGUGAUUCUCCCAUCUCAGCUUCCCAGG
rnacentral:lncRNA from 10 species